UAAACCUGGAGGAAGUGUGCCCGUAACCGACACCUCUGGAGUGGGAGAAACAGUGUAUGACCAGAGUGAACCCUCAACCAGUAAGAUACCCCCUCUUCAAGUGAAUAUCCCAGGCAAAAGGAAAUCUGAUGAGACCCAUGCAAACAAACAAACAAAGAAACGACAACGUGGUGCUGCUUCCAGAAUAACU